ACAUGGAUGUCAUCAUAUAGCAUUUUACUCUAAUGUCAUCAUCCAACCACUUUUUAUGCAUCUCACGCUGAACAUCAGUAGGACGUGUUGGUAGUGUGAGGAUAUCUGAAUCGAGUAUGUAGCCUAUUUUCUCACAGUCCAAAAUAAUUUUGAGAUUUCUAAGCCAGUCUUUGUAAUUGGUUCCGGUCAGUCGGUUGGUCUCAAGAAUACGGGCCAAAGGGUUUGAAGCCGACAUUGUAUCUGCAGAGAGUAAAGAUUCUAGUUAGACUUUUGUACUUGAUCCUAAUCUGUUCUAAGGUCUUUUAGAACAAAUGUAACUCCCACUAUUUUCUCGAAUUCCUCACACUCCCCUGGUAGGAAAACGAAAAUCCCACACGACUAGGGUUUCA
rnacentral:lncRNA from 1 species